rnacentral:tRNA from 1 species
GCCUGGGUGGCUCAGUCGGUUAAGUGUCUGACUUUGGCUCAGGUCACGACCUCAUGGUUCGUGGGUUCGAGCCCCACAUCGGACU